rnacentral:rRNA from 1 species
UAGUCCACGCCGUAAACGAUGGAUACUAGCUGUCCGGGUCCUUGAGACCUGGGCGGCCAAGCGAAAGUGAUAAGUAUCCCACCUGGGGAGUACGUUCGCAAGAAUGAAACUCAAAGGAAUUGACGGGGGCCCGCACAAGCGGUGGAGCAUGUGGUUUAAUUCGAUGAUACGCGAGGAACCUUACCAGGGCUUAAAUGCAUAUUGACAGGGUCAGAGAUGGCCUUUCCUUCGGGCAAUUUGCAAGGUGCUGCAUGGUUGUCGUCAGCUCGUGCCGUGAGGUGUCAGGUUAAGUCCUAUAACGAGCGCAACCCUUGUCGUUAGUUGCCAGCAUUUAAAGAUGGGGACUCUAACGAGACUGCCGGUGCAAACCGAGAGGAAGGUGGGGAUGACGUCAAAUCAUCACGGCCCUUACGUCCUGGGCUACACACGUGCUACAAUGGUAUGGACAGAGAGCAGCCACUAUGCGAAUAGGAGCGAAUCUACAAACCAUAUCAC